GCCGGGCCAGGGGGGCCGUGGCCCGGGUAACUUUUUGAAAUGAUUAUUAAAAAAAGAAAUGAAUGUUGGCCUGCAAGUUUUUUUUUCAACUCAAAACCUGUCGACAAGAUCAAACUUAAACACAACCCAUGCUGUAAUAAUUUAAUCAAUGGUAUUUCUAAACCAAUAUUGUUCACGUCACACGUCAUGCAUGAAUAUUGCAAAAUGUAGACCUAUAACUGCGCAGCACUGAUCACUAAUCGCGCGAAAGAAGUAGAGCGUUCGUUUUCCACACUUCGUCGACUGAAAUCAUACCUCCGAUCCACAGUGACACAAAAAAGACUGAAUGACUUGAUGAACUGCCAUAUUCACCGUGACAUUCUGGAGGACAUCGACAUGACAGCCAUCGCUAAGGAGUUCGUGCAGGCCAAUGACAGACGCAGGCAGGCCUUUGGGAAGUUUUAAGCAUCCCAGUCCAUCAUGCUCCCCUACUUGUCUGCCGUGCCACCAUCAUGCCUCAUGCAUCACCUCUCAGCGCCCUGCCCAGCUGCAUCUUAUUCCGUUACUCCAGCUCUUUCCCAUAAGUGACAAACACGCCUCACCCAAGUGUUUAUAAUAUUUUAUUAAUUAUGCAUGUAAGGUGUGCUUAAGUGGCCUGAAAGGUGCCCAUCAAUAAAAUGCUUAUGAAUAUAA